UGCAAGUCGAGCGGCAGCGCGGGGCAACCUGGCGGCGAGCGGCGAACGGGUGAGGAAUACAUCGGAACGUACCCCGGAGUGGGGGAUAACGCCGCGAAAGCGGCGCUAAUACCGCAUAUGCUCUGAGGAGGAAAGUGGGGGACCGCAAGGCCUCACGCUCUGGGAGCGGCCGAUGUCCGAUUAGCUAGUUGGUGGGGUAAUGGCUUACCAAGGCGACGAUCGGUAGCUGGUCUGAGAGGAUGAUCAGCCACACUGGGACUGAGACACGGCCCAGACUCCUACGGGAGGCAGCAGUGGGGAAUUUUGGACAAUGGGGGCAACCCUGAUCCAGCCAUGCCGCGUGCGGGAAGAAGGCCUUCGGGUUGUAAACCGCUUUUAGCCGGGAAGAAAAGGCACGUUUUAAUACAGCGUGUUCUUGACGGUACCGGCGGAAUAAGCACCGGCUAACUACGUGCCAGCAGCCGCGGUAAUACGUAGGGUGCGAGCGUUAAUCGGAAUUACUGGGCGUAAAGCGUGCGCAGGCGGUUCGUUAAGUCUGAUGUGAAAGCCCCGGGCUC
rnacentral:rRNA from 1 species